rnacentral:lncRNA from 1 species
CUGGACUGUCCUCUGACCCUGAGACCUUCGCCAGGAACAGGGAGCUUGAGGUCAUCCACGCCCGAUGGGCCAUGCUCGGAGCUUUGGGGUGCCUCACCCCCGAGCUCUUGGCUAAGAGCGGUGUGAAGUUCGGCGAGGCCGUAUGGUUUAAGGCCGGAGCUCAGAUCUUCAGCGAGGGCGGUUUGGACUACUUGGGAAACCCUAGCCUUGUUCACGCUCAGAGCAUCUUGGCCAUCUGGGCGUCCCAGGUUGUGCUCAUGGGAGCCGUUGAGGGUUACCGUGUUGCCGGUGGACCCUUGGGUGAGAUCACCGACCCCAUCUACCCCGGAGGCUCAUUUGACCCCUUGGGUUUGGCUGAUGACCCCGACACAUUCGCUGAGUUGAAGGUCAAGGAGAUUAAGAACGGCCGUCUCGCUAUGUUCUCCAUGUUCGGAUUCUUCGUCCAGGCCAUCGUAACCGGCAAAGGCCCACUCGAGAACUUGAAUGACCACUUGGCUGACCCCGUCGCCAACAACGCCUGGGCAUACGCAACCAACUUUGUUCCCGGGAAUUAGAUCAAAAUCAGAAUUGAGAAUGCCCUGAGCAUUGCCCUAGUGGAUUGUAUCAUAGGGCCACAUGGAGGCUCGAUUUUUUCGGUUGUGGUUCAGCUGUCGUGAAUAAAGACUGUAUUAUUCAUCAAUUUGUGUCAGUGAGAUCAAGUUUUGUCUUGAGCACUUGGAUCAUGCUGCGUACAUGUAUGCCCCAAGUAAUCUUUUAGCAUGAUGUGCCUGACAUGUUGACACCCCUGAUUGCUAGUCGGUGUCAAGUUCAAAUCUUGUGGCUCUGUACACCCACUCAGUGGGUGGCAGGACUGAAUUAAUGAACUAGAUCAAUUAUUGAAGUUAUCAAUUGCAGCCUAUACACUGGUAAGUAGGGUAAUUCACCUACAUGCUGAUGAAUAUCGCAGCCAGGGUUAACAUGUUUGUAGAUAAAUAACUGCGCUCGUUAGAGACGUAAAUGAUGUACUCUCAAUUAUUCUUUACUCCAAUAACCUAUCCUUCACUUAAUCGUUUCUCAAGCUGUUUGAAUGUUCUGUACGACUUGUCUAUGAUGUGUGAGGUCGUACUCUCUACGAAUAUGGUUUUCAUACAAUUGAUUACGGUUUUCGGCUACAGUCCUCUAACCAAUUUUACUUUGUUCGCGUCAACGCACAAUAAUAUGUUUAGGACAUUGUGUCUUCAUUUAUCGUUCCAUUUUGAGGUAGUUAAUGAAACAUGCGAAAUUACAAGCUGUUGAGUGCGAGGGCAGACAAAUUAUACAAUCGAUCCUGCAUGCAGCUUGCGCUGCGGUCAAAUAACGAUUUUCUCUCUCGAGGCACACUUAACUUGGAAGGUGUAAAGGAUUCAUCUGGAUUAGGUUACCAUCAACAGUAAUGAAACCUCCAUUCGGCACCGAAGCUAAACUUUGACUACUCGUGGGUGUACACCUUGUCACGUGGGUUUAAAAAAUCAGUGAAAUCUUAUAUUCUCUAUUUCUAUAUGUUAAUUCAUAUAUAUAUAAUCACAUUGUAGUGUGUCACUACUAACUAGGUUAGAGGAAGGAUGUUACGGCGAUUGGGAAAUUCUUAAAUAUGCAAUGGAAGUAAUACGCUUCCUCUUGUGAAAUCUAUUCACAUUGAUGUAACCUCGAAAUACGCGAAACCUCAAGCGGAGGCAUUCAUAAGCCUGAAUUAUGGAGCUCGUCUUGGGAAGCGACAACAACAUACCUCUGUUGACAGGACAUCUUAACUGGGUCCUCCCUAGCCAGGAGAAAUUUUCUUUCCAUGUGGGGUCGGGCUGGUGAUCAAUCUUCCCAGCCAUAGGCUGCGUGGGACGUAACAUCUUGUGUGGCACAUGUGGGCAGUUUGGGAGAAGAUGCCCGCCCUCGCUCCCGUUGGAUUCAUUCCCGAGUCGUCACAAAGGCCGCCGUCAAACUCGCAAUAUGGUUUGAAGUCGCGUUCAGAAUCACUCAACGCUCUAAGUAUGGGGGUGCUGUUAGCAUUUGCGAGCCGGAAGGAUGUAGCAUUAUGCUGGUGGAAGUGGAUCAAGUGACAGCUGCUCACGUUUUGUUGUUAGGAGCAAGGUUCCACAGGUCUGGGGAGGGAAGUUUGAAGAGAAUGGACUGCAGAAUUCAUUGUGAGGAGUCCGUCGAUAGAUUUGCAGGUUUCUGAUGAUGGAAGGUUCUAAUUAAAAAUAAAAUAAAAUGAGCUUUGUAUAGUCGGGAGGCGUGAUGGGGUGGCUGUGGAUGUGUCUCGGAAUCAGAGACAACUCAGCUCGGAGAAUUCGUGAUGCUGAGGUAUGUUAGCUUUCUGAGCUUGGACUUCGAGAUAUAGGUCUAAGACUGUAAGGGUAACUUGGUAGGGGAUGUAUGUCCGGGACUUCUGCCGGACGAUGGACGCAUCGGGUUGAUGGUUCAAAUUCUUGAUGUUGCGAGAUAUUACAUCGAUUGUUUCAAGGGGGUAGUUGUGUGGUGUUGCGAUGAAGUUUUCAGGGCCUUGUAAGUUUGCCUGAUGUUAACCGAACUUGAAUUGUGCACAUCAGGGAAGAUUGAGCAGCGAUUCUUACGACGCCAGAUUUGGCAGCUCCAAGAUACCGCGGAUAGAAGGUUACGAAGUUUUGGUUUUUCCUUGCCUUUGCAGCUGUGAUUAAUUUCCAUCACCUCGGCUGUACGUCUGUUUGGGUUAGGCAGUUUUUUUUGUUUUUCGUUUUUUUGAUUUUUUUGAUUUUUUUGGUUGAAUCGAAGAAGACAUAUCGUAGCUUCCCUGAAGUCAGAAUGUAAAGAAGUUCUUCCAGUGAGCUCUACAAUUUUGAUAUAAUGGAUUUUCAGGUUAAGUAUGGUCCUAUCCCUUCAAAGUUCGGAGCUAUGGUGGGUGUGUGUCGUCCGGUACUGAGCCAAUGGACCUGCACGAAGAAAACACAAUACUAGUAGUAACGUGCGGAGGUGCUUUGGUGCAGACUACUUGCAGCCCAGACGAACGGGAUACGACGUCUUCGUUAAUAGAUAUACAUCAGAGUCCCCGAACUCAAUUAAAACGGUCGCAUCGUCGAUAGAUUCAAUACACGCAGAUGGAAAUGGCAGCAACAAAGAAGGCAAAAAAUGGGCACAUCAGGUAUAGCUUGCGUUCUAAAACUGGGGAGGACGAUCAGGGAAGAGAUAGAAGUAUAUUGGUUCAGCUUAAGCGUACAAGGCAUUCUAAGCAUCCAGUCUAUCCUCACAAUCUCGCGUAACUGCUCUUCCUAAUUUCCCUGAGAAGUUUAUGACAGUGUCGUAGCGAUGGUUUCUGCAGGAAUCGAAUGUGCAACUCCGUCGCGUGGAAAAGAAAUGGGGAAACACGAAUGCAAUACCUCCUGGCGAUGUUAUUAGCAGAGAAUUCCGACCACACUGGAGCAGUGGCGAACAGAUUCCCGAAAAUAACGUUGUUUCACGAGAAACAUCGAGUUUGCGGAAGUCCUUUUCCGAGCUCUUGAUGGAAACUGACGCACUUGAUAGCUCGACGUCGAGAUUCAAGGGUCCUCUGGCAUUGUAAGUACGAGAAAUGUGGUUGAGUUUUGUUCUGUUCAUCGGACUCUGCACUUCGAGAAGCUAAUUUUCUUGUGAGUUGUUGAUGACAGAGCCGCCAUCGCUGCAGCAGCUGAGAGAGCUGCGAGAUCACAUAGACAGCACGGGGAAGGCGGAAGAGGAAGGAAAAACAUCCAGCCUGUGCACUUGGCGGCUUGCGAUCAGCCUUCUCGGAGUCCCCAGUCUCCUCAUUCUAUAUCGCUGUCUUCAGCCGUGAGUGUCUCUUCUCUCUCUAAGAAGCACCUUGAAGCUUCACAUGCGGUAGCUGCUUUCAAAGAGAACAGGCGUCGACAAAUGUCUGAGAGGCAAUCAAAUGUCCGGAGUAAUGGAAGCAUUCGGAAAAUUUUCCGCUCGUCACGGAAGCGCCCGUUCCGACGAGCUCUGUCGCCCGUCCUCGAAGUCUUGUCCCUUGACGAAGAACUCCGGAGCAAGAGGAAAAGUGACGUUAGCUUGCGCGAUCUAUUCACCAACGACUUGCCGCAAGCUCCCAGUGAACGUACUUCCACAGAAUCAAUACCUUCUGCUGGUGACCAUCAGCAGAGUACAUGGAGGAAUUCUUUGGCUAUGAUUGCGAAGGCAACAGGGAUGACAUCAGAAGCUCUCUCGACAGAGGAGGGUGCUGAUUGUGUGGAUGUGGAGAAUUUGCAAGAGAAAUCGGAGGCUGCCGGAGCCGGACAUUCACCCUGCCCUUUGUCUAGCUGUUUAAGUGAGUUUGCAGAAGGACGAAGUCAAGAAACUCCAGUUGAUGGAUCAGUGCUCGGUGAGAAUGGUACUAUCAAUGGCAACCAUGACCGCAACCUUGACGAAGGAUUGGAUAGGGCUUCCAGCCCUCCACGAGGAGCAUAUCCGGAGGGAACCUCUUCCGGCCCAGAAAAUUUGCGACUUCAAAGUCAGCCUCAUACCGGCUCUCAAAAUCUGGGACACGAGCCGCAUGAUGAUGUCUCAUUGCUGAGGACUUCGGUGAGAGAUGUAUUGGUAUCGCCAGAGGUGUUCAUGUCCCCUAAAACGGCCAACUCGGAGCUAAAUUUCACGAGAAUUAUGGACGUGAAUCCCGAAGAGAGGCCCAUCCUUGGUUCCCUAGCGGAUCACUGGGAAGCUGCGUUGACGACGAAAAAAUCCGCUUGGGACGGCAAAGGCAUUCCGAAUUCGACCCACAAGUACCGGGAGGUAAGAAUCAACCACUCUUGUUUGCAUAGGAACAGAACCAUGCGCACAGUCCGAAAUGUAAUUGCCACUAAUUCUGCCUACUGAAGUCCCUGUUGGUAUGCGAUACAGGAUCAGAAAGUCAUGUGGCAUUCGGCGUCAUUUGAGGAACGUCUGGUGCAAGCUCUAGCAACACAAGAAGCCUCAGUUCCCCAAAGGUACUGCAUAUCCUUGCUUGUAUAAGCAUCAGUAUGUCAUGUUUUGCAUCAAUUUCUGUUGAUCGUCAACCAUGUACACAAUCACUUUAAUCAACUCUUUUGCAUCUGCAAGUGGGUUGGGUAUCAAGCUUUCUGUUCUGGCGCGUGCGUCUUCGAUUUGCUUCAUGGGUCAGCUCGUGCUCCAUCUGUGAACAUAGUCGGCACCUAAUGCAAAAUCAACCUACUUCACAUGUGGUGGUUAUCGAUUACUGACGGACUUUUUUAUGGUGGAUUUUCGAAGCUUGAUGGUAUAUUUCUUAAAGUGUGGCUUGGAAUGUGCAGAAGAAGCAGGUCAAGAGGACUAGUGAAUCGAUUAGCAGCAGGUAGGAGUGAUACGGGUUUGCAAGCACAUUAGUGCAACCUCAUCUCACAAACUAGACCUGAAGAUGGAGAGACAAUUUUACCUUCUUCGAAUUUACAUUUUAUUCUCUGGAUGCAAGUCGUCUUUGAAAUUUGGCAAACCUAAGGCCGAGUUUUGAUUGGAAUGAAACAAUGAAGAUAUAAAUGGGACCAACCUCAUGAAUUCCAUCCCAACAUGGUGGUAUAAUAUCCUUGUGGCUCGCAGUGUCCACCAUCACAAUUCCAGAACUGAAUUGCUUUUUCAAAAAAAUUCCCCUGGAGAUGAAAUUCCAUUUUGUGUUUUGAAUUCAUGAUCAGACCUAUUACCAAUACAAGACUUUCAAAUGAUACUCACGCUAUCAAAGGACUAAUACUUUUAUCAAGUAGAUCACCAAUCUUGUGCACCAGGACAAAGACAAAUCAAAGGAUUUACACCUUGAGAUUUAGUUGAAAUUCUCCAUAAAUUAUUUUUACAAAUAGUUUGAGUAGUGCCACUUAUAUAAUACAAAGAAGACAACAUGAAAUAUUUAAUACUACUGUUCAAUUCAGUAAGUAAUUCAUAAUUUAAAUUGUUAAUAUAUUAGUAUGAAAUGGGAGCAAAGCUGACAACUUAUGUUUUAGUAUCAGAUAUAAUAGAUUUGUUCUAUUGAUGAGGUGUGAGACUUAACAGGGUUACAAUUGCUUAUCAAACUCAUACUGUGUUAUUCUUUUUAUUGGUUGAGUGUUCAAGUAAAGUUAUUUUUUUAUGAUAUAGCGAUUUUAAUGUAGUUUAUUUGAGACUAAGUAGUAAUUGAAGGGGACUAAGAUUUGUUGUAUGCAUUCUCAUGUUAAAUUUCUCUUACCAUGACAAUGUUUUGAGCAUUAUCAAAAGCCUCAUAUUUGUAGAUGCUUUAAUUGAUAAAUAGAUGCCAUUGUGUUUGCAAAUUUACAAUGCGUGGUAUGAAACAACCUACAAUAACAAUGCUUAUUAGCUAUAGAAACAAGACAAACAACCCAAAAAACAAGAAUAAAGUGUUUAAAAACACUUUGGCAAUCUUGACCAAACCUUAAAUAAUCAUAAAAAGUAAUCCCAAUUAAAUCUAAUAAAAAUUGAAAAAAUCCAAAAGAAACCAUAAACCCUAAAUCCAAAGGAAAUCCUAGUCAAACUUUGAUUAAAAACUACAAUAGUUUCAAACCUUAAUAACUUUUAUAAUAACCAUUAAUCUUAUGUAAAAUUUUACAUACACUUUAAUUUACUAAUUAAAAACAAGCAUAUAUAAUUUCAAAAAAAUUUAACUUACAAAUUAAGAGAAAUAGCUCAUAAUCUACUCCAAUGUUGAUAAUCUUUCUUCUUCAAUUUCAAUCUAAAUCUUCCAUCUUAAAUUUCUUUGUCUUAAAUUGUUAACUUCUUUUCAAAAUUUUCAAGAAUGUAAAAAAUUAGCCAAUCAAUAGUAUAUCAUUUUUUUUUUUUUUUUCCUAAUUUAACUUCCAAAUUGCUCAAAAUCUAAGAAAUUCUUAUUGACCUUUAAAAUUUAAUUUUUAAGAUAUUAACUUACUUGAACCUCAAUUUCUUUUGAGAAAGAUUGUUUAAUAGAGCUCAAAUUCAUUAUUUAUAUUUAGUACAAAAUAUUCACAAACUUACAAAAUUUUAUAUAUUGAUCUACUACAAAGUCCACACGAUUUACUAAGAUGUAAUCUUCUUUUUAUCUUACACAAAACAUUAUCAUUCAAAACAACCUCUACUUUGAAAAGCUCUCAUAAAGUCAAAAUAAAUUCAAAUUGCUUAAAAUAAAUAUUUAUAAAAAUCCAAUCAAAUUUUCUUUAAAAACUCACACUCCAAUCAAUUGGAAAAAACCUUAUUUUCUAUAGGUGCAAGGUUUUAUGCCUUAGGAUCUGGUUUUGAUCCUAAUUUAUAACCAACCUUCUAUAGAUAUCAAUCUAAGAUUUAUCUAAUUAAUUUUUUUGAUUGCUAUUCUUUACUUCUAUCUUAAGAUACACAUAAUAGUAUUUUUACUAAUCUACUUGUUUUUUCUUAUGUAUGGCUUUACAAACUAAGUAGAAUCUCUUUUUACAAAAAUGCAAUGUUAACACUUAUUAAUUUUACUACCUCUUUAAAUAUUAUCUAUAACUCUAAGUUAAUUUUCUAUUAUAUUUUAAAAUAAGUUAUUUUAUAAUAUAAAACUCUCUUUCAUCCAAUAGCCAUGUAAUAAUAUAAAAAUAUAGAAGAAAAUUAUAAAUAUUAUUUUUCCAUCUUUAAUAAAAAUAGUUGUGCUUCUUUUAACUUUAACCUCGUGAGGUUUGUUUCCAAAUGCCCAAAUUUUCCUCCUUUAAAAAUUAUUUAUUUUUCUUCAACAACUUUGUAAUGUUAGUAAGAAAGACCUCUAGAUCCUUAUGUUUACUAUAAGUGUCUUCUUUUAACAUCUUUACAUCUUCUUUGGAUAACUCACUAGGAUGAUAUUUGACAACUAGUUAAUUUUUAGCGAUAUAACCUCUCUUACUAUAUCAAUAACAUAUGGACCUAAAAUGAAAAUAUUUUUAUGAUUUCUCAACAUUCUUCUUGAAAGUCAAAACUGAAUUCUUGCUGACUUUGUGUUUUUGAAACAUCGUGACAAGAGCCUUUAAGUCUUCUUUUCCAAGUUGUAAGUUCCAAAGCUCCAUUUGAUACAAUGCAAUGACGAACUUAGUGCUUAAGGCGUUGAAAGAAAGAAGCUCUUCCAUGUUGGAGAUGAUAGACAUUGUGGCAUCAUAGAUGCAAGGCAAUCUAUUAAGCAUUAAGUAAAUAAAAAUUGUAUUAAAAAAGGCUUAUUCUAUGCAAGACAUUUGAUCUUUUAGAUCUUCGAUAGUGUUGAGGUAAUCUUCAAUUUUCUCUCUUUCUUUCAUUUUGAUUGAAUGUAGAUUUUUAAAAAUUAUCAAAAGUUAUGACAUGUCACUUGACUUCAACUUAGUUGACAUGAUUAUCUGUAUUAGCUACUACUUUCAUUAAUUUAUUCUUUAUCAACAUAAUUAUAGCAUAGUAAGUAUUAACCUUCAUUAAUUUAAGUUUAUUUUUACUCAAAUCUCUUCUAUAAAUAUUAAAUAUAAGCUAGCUAGCUAUGAUUUUGCUCUCAACUAUUUUUUACAAAUCUUCUCUUAAACAAAACUUUCAUGUACACUUUCUAUAUGUAAAAGUUAACAAAUCUUCUCUUAAACAAAACUUUCAUGUGCACUUUCUAUAUGUAAAAGUUAACAAUUCCAUCUAAUUUUUUGACUUUACCAAAUUAAGUUAUUUUUUUGAUUUUUUUAGAUAUUUCUAUAUUUAGACCUCUUUUUAACUUCAUAUGAAGUAGAAAUUUUAAAAUAGACUUUCUUUCUAAGUCUAUCUCUUCUCUUGUUGACAUCUGAGUAAAUAAAGAUCAAAGUUUAUUUAGAUGUAUUCUUUUGAAUACAUAGAGAAAUAAUUAGUUAUCCUUAACUUGUUAGAUUUAAUGCUACACUUGCUUUAAUAUCAUAUAGUUUUUAAUAAGUGAGUGAUAAUAUAUCACAUAUUGAAUUAUAUACACAAAUGAGUAGUAGCAAAUAAUUGAGCAAAAGCGGCAUUUCAUUCUUAUAAAGAGUGUAUAACAAUAAAGACCUAAAUAAUCAAUUUAUAAAUGAAUUGAAAAUAACCAAUCAUAUAGAUGAAUUGAAAAGUUCAUUAGUCAAAUUCUAAGUAGACUUGAAAGUAAAAAAAAUAAAAGAUUGUUUGAGUACCAACAAAUUAUUAUAGACAAAUACCACAAAUAUGAUCUAUAUAAUUGUAAAUUGUCUAAAUCUUAUGAAAAUUAUCUUAGUAAGUAGAAGAUUAAAAAAGUUAUUUUUUUGUUAUUUAGGUUAUAUUUAAUUUAAAUUAUUUCAAUUGAUCAAAAUCCUUAAUACUAUGGAUUAAGGAUUCACUAUUAAAUUCUUUGAUUAACUAUAUAUCUUUAGUAGAGUUUUAUUGUGUGAUGAAAUAUUACUUAAGUGUCAAUUAGUGGGUAUUUAGAAGUUCACCAAAAACAUCUAAUAUAUGCAUCAAAUAAAACCAAGAUUACCAAAGUUUGAUUAUUUUUUUAGAAGAAUUUAUAAAUAAAAAAAAAAUAAAAAUGAUUAAAAAUAGAAAAAUGAUUUUUUUCUGCUUAUUUUAUUUGUUGACAGUAUGUACAUAGCCUAGCAAAAAGAUUUGCUAGUGAAUAAUACAACACGCUACUUUUUUGACUUCAAUAGUUGAUUGCUCUACAACUACUUUUGAAAUAUCACAUUUGUAAAAAAAAUAUUUUAAAGAGAUUUCUUUUUUAAACUUAAAUAGUUACCAUUGUAUAAAACCUUACAAAAAUGAUGUGCAAUUCUAAUUUUUACAAAUUAAUUAUUAUAAAUAAAAUAUUUUUUACAAUAACCAUAAUUUUAUCAAAAUAAGAAUAAAUUUUAUUAUUAGUGGUGUCAUAUUAUUAUACAGCUAUUAGGUGAAAAAAAAAAGAUUAUAUUAUAGAAUAGCUUAAUUAAAAAUAUUAUAAAUAAUUAUAUUAGAAAUAAAAAUAAUAGACAAGAAAGUAGUAAAACUAUUAAGUCCUAAUAUUAUCUCUUUGCAAAAUGGACUUCUACUUACUUUGUAUGGCUAUAAAUGCGACAAAAUAAAAUAGAUAAAAUAAAAUAAUUAAAAUAGGCAUAUUUAGAAAGAAAUUAAGAGUGGUUUGUAUCAAAAAUUACCUUAAUAAAACUAAGAAUUGAUACUUAAAGGACCAAUUGUGAACUAAGAUCAAAAUCAAACCUUGAGGCAUAAAAUUGCACAUCUACAACAAUUCUUAGUUUUUAGUAUGAUCAAAGAAGGCAAUUUUAGAACACAUUAGAGCAAGGUUAUUUAGGUAGUAAUUUGGAGUGAUUUGAAUUUGUAAUGGCUUUGUAAAGGCUUUGCAAAUUCAAUGUUGUUUUGAGAUGACUUUGAUUUUUUAAGAAAUAUAAUAGGUUUAUACUUUAGAGAAUUUUAUGAGAUUGCUAAUUGAGCUAAAAGUAAUUUUUUGUGGUUAUGUGAUUGUAAUUGAGUUAAAUAUAUGUUGUAAAUUUGAGCUUGAUUGAAUGGUUUAUUUAAGUAUUAUUAAAAUUUAAGAAUUUGAAUAUCUCAUUAAUUAGAGUUUAAAAGAUCAACAAGGAUUUCCAAGAUUUUUAGCCAUUUCUAAUUAGAUUGAGAUAAAUUUUUGUGCUGUAGUAUUGGACUUCAUUUCCAACAUUUGCACAAAUUUUGGAAGCAUUAGAUGGUGCAAUAAAGAUAUAUUAGCAUUGGGAGAAUGACAUCAAGAUUGUAGAGGAAGGCUAACUAAAAUCUAAGCAGAUUAUGAAACUUAUCUUUUAUUUGAUAAGUUUGAUCUUCUUCAAAAUUCUUAAGUUUAUUGAAAAUCAAAUAAUUAGGAAGUAGAUAAAUUUUGAGUUAAAAUCAAUGGUUAAAUUAGUAAUCAUUGAAUUUUUAAUCAACUAUAGGAAUUAAUUAGGAUUUAUUUAAUGUUUAGGAUUUUAUUAGAAUUUAAUUAGAAAUUGUUUUAGAAUUUAUGGUUUGAAUUUAAGAUUUUAUUAAUAUUUGAUUAGGAUUUUUUUAGGAUUUGAUUUAAAAGUUUACUAGGAUUUGAUUUUGACCUAAUUAGAAUUUAUUAAAGAUUAAAGAUUUAAUUAAGAUUUCAUUAAAAUUUAGUUUAGAUUUAUUUACGAUUAUAGUUUUGAUUAAAGUUUCAUUAGAAUUUGAUUAAGAUUUGAUUAGAAUAUAAUUAAAUUUUAUUUAAAAUUAAAUUAUAAUUUGAUUGGAAUCUAAUUAUAAUAUAUUAAAUUUUAUUUAAGAAUUAUUUUAAUCCUAAAUUUUAAAUCUUAAAUCCUAACUACAAAGAUGGAUCUUGUGUAGAUAGCCUACUUUUUUGAUUUUGUAGGCUAAAAGUAAUACUAGUUAUAUUAACUAUGUUUUCAUCUACAAAUAUUACAAUAUUAGCAAAGACUUAACAAAGUAUGCUUGUUGAGUAUAAGGAAUGAAGAAAAAAAUUGAUACUUUUGAACAACUUUUUUUAUUCUUGUACGUGCAUGGAUGUAAAAGAUUUGGUAUUAUUGGAAGUAUUUACUAGAAUAAGUUUGUUGCCAAGAUCAAGAAUACAAAAGAUUGUAGUGGCGAGACUUAAGAUUUCCAAAAUGUAUGUAUCCAUUUAAAUCAUUUGGCCUAUCAAGUCCUUCAUAGCCUUCCUUUAUAGUUCAUUAAUUGUAGAAUGUGAUAGAUCACAUGUAACCUAGAUGUAUGCAUUGCAUCAUCCAAAGAAUGAGUCUUAAAUCUUGCAAAUAAAUUUAAUGAAUGCAUUGGACAACUUUCUAUAUCGCUCUUAAAAAAAUUUAACAUUUGUCUCUUUUGCCAUGUUUGAUGUGAGUACUCUUAAGAGGGAAAUUUUUGCAUGACUAAAAGUCAAGUGUUGGAUAUGAUUUCUUUUAAUUAUAACUAUACUUGAAAAUACAUCUUGUUAAUUUCCGCCAUGGUAGCCUUAUAAGCAUCUAUUUUUAAUAUUUUUAUAGUGGAUCAAAUCUUAUUACUGAGCUUAGUCUUGAACUUUAUCUUGAUAUGCUUCUUGAUGUACCAAAUACAACCUACAUGCAUUGUGUUAAAAAGCUUUCAGGCUAUUUCAUGCUCUAUGCUCUAGUAAUAUCAAGGAAUAAUAUGUUAGUUUGCCUCAUCAUUUUUUUGAUAGUCUAAUAUACUACCAUUACCAUGUUUCAAUUUGUAAAGUAUUUUUUAUAGUCUUUAAUUACAUUCAUGGUUUGAAAAUUAAAAAAUAAGAUUAUAUCUACAACUUGCUCAUGGAAUUAAGUCAAAUAUUUGGUAUUUUUGAUUAGUGCAAUACCAAAAACAAUAAGACAAAUCUAGCCUUCUUUGUUGAUGCUACUAAAGCCUAGGUAAAUAUCUUUGAAAGUAGCUUUUAAAUGGACUGUAUUAAUUAUGAACAAUACACAAUAGUAUGUAGCAAAAGUCUUCUUUGUAGGAAGGUAUAGAAAUGCUUGUAUGGUUGUCUAUAUUAACUACUAUAGAAUUCUCAAGAUUGAAAUAUAUACUUGGGCAAGUGUCAUAUCUAUUUUAUAAAAUCCAAGCUUAUAAUUGGUAAUAAAGCAUUACUUGUAUACUUCUUGGUUAUUCUAAGCUGCCAUAUAUAUUAUUUUUGUUAUGGUUAGAAAUUUCAUAUAAUUGUAAAGUGUAGAUGCCAUGCAAAAAAUAUGUAGCAAACUUUGCAAGAACAUACUCUUAGAAGCAAAAUAACUGCAUAAACGUGGAACAAUUCUUAUUUUAUAGAGUAAAUGUGAUUACAUAAAGUAAGCCAUUUUUGUGCCAUUUCAUGGAACUAUAGAAGCUGUACCUAAGAUCAUUGUCUUGUGUAGUGUUGUAUUAUGUGAAAAAUAACCUAAAAAUUCAUUAAACAUUUCAUUUUGAAAAUGAAUUGUAUUUGCAACAAAAAAGAACCUAACAAUCAUAAUAAAAUUUUAAAAAAAUCUUGAUUAAAUCUUAAUAAUUAUAAUAAAAUCUUAAUAAAAUCUAAAAGAAUCUUAAAGAAAUCUUAAAAGAAUCAUUAGAUAAUUCAUAAUAAAACAUCAAAAAAAUUGUAAAGGAUAUUAAAAAAUCUUUAAAAAAUCCUUAAAAAAAGCAUUAAGAAAAGAAAUUUUAAAAAAAUAUAAAGAAAUAUUAAAUAAUUUUUUUUAAAAAAAUUUAAAAUAUUUCAAUGAAGUUGUAAGUAAAUUCUAAUAAUCUUGAUAAAUUUCUAAAUAAAUCCUCACAAAACUUAAAUAAUCCUUAAUGAAAUCUCAAUAAAAUAUUAAAUAAAUUCUAACACAUCUUAAUAAAAAUUAAAGUUACCUUAAAAAUCCUUAGAUAAUCCUAAUCAAAAUCCUAACAAAUCUUAGCUAAUUCUAAGGCUAUUUUAAAACCUCAAUAACUACUAAAUAAAUCAUUGACCUUAUUCAAAUAUUUUUGUAUAUUAUAAUCUAAUGAUAAAAAACUAGCUCAAUAAUUAAACAAAAAAUCCAACUUACCAAUUUGGAAAAAAAGUUCUUUAAUUGUGUAGGUGUUGGCUAUCUUUCUUCUUCUAUCUUAAUGGUGAUCUUCUAGUAGCAAUAACUCUUUAAUAGACCAUUUACGUGCACUCAAUAUUUUUGAAAUCUAAGUUCAAAAUCCGCUCAUUAAAGUUUUUUUUUAAAAUUUAACUAGUAGAUUAUUUAAGAUAAAAAAAACCUUUGUUAAUCCUUAAAAUCCAUAUACCAAAAUUAUAAUCUAAUUGGAUUUCAAUAACCUUUGAUCUAA